rnacentral:lncRNA from 1 species
AUGCUCAAAUUCUUUCUUUCACUUUUCAGGUGCCUUGACUCUGUAACAGAGGAGAGACCAAAAUCUAAACUCAUGAUAUAUAAGGUGAUGGCCAGUACAGGGGGCAAAGAGGAAUGGUACCUGGACUUGGGGUCACUGGAAUUUGACCCCUCCGUCACUCCGGGCCAUUCCAGCAACCACACAGAUGCAAUGAAUGCCUUUGAGAGUGUAACGCCUACUUCCUACAUGGAAACUUUAACCAAUCACAUAGAAGAUGUCGUCACAACUGAAACCACACCGGCAUCUGUGGAGCCUAAAAUGGCCCAGACUAUCAAGAGGCCCACUGUGGUGCAGCGUUUCCUCAUAACUUGUCAGCGGUUGAGGAACCUCUUUAAUGAGUGCUCAUGUGUCAGAGAUUCAUUAGUCGUCCGUCUACCUGAGUCGUCCUCUGCCAGGUCUGCAGUUUCCAGCGGCGGUCAAAGUUGUGGCCACAUCAAGGAUACAGGCACCUCAGGGUGUGCUGAUCUGACCACAGCCGUUGAUGCCAUGGAGACUGUAAUGGUAAGGAUGGCCCUGAGUUUAGAUGAUGCUGCCACUAUGAGGAUGAAGAUGGAGAAACUACUGUCCAGUGGAGCUUUGAAGCCACUGAUAGACAUUCUGGUGAAUCAUCUCCGAAACCUUAUUUUCGAGUAUGUCCCUUUUACAUCUACUGAAGUGCCUGGCACGUCUGCGUCCACAUCCACUUUCCCUCAAUGGAGAGAGACUGAUCGUUUCUCAAAGUAUAUAUAUGCCAUCGUUGAGAGGUCUCUGAAGCCUUUCCUUGACCAGCUUCUGGGUGAUGUCCUUGCAGAGUCAAAUAUGGCUUAUGUGGAUGACAGCAGGCGUGACACUCCAUCAACGUCCAGCUCUUGUAUUGUGAUCCAUGAGAACAUUGUAAGUCUUUUGACCACCAUGAUGACUCGGGAGAUAAUGAAUGAUUUAUCUGGCGGGCCAGAGGAGGUCUCUGGUCACAGGUCACCCAGCAGAGGCUUUACAGCUAGGACCAGUGGAGCCAGUGAUCGCGAUGCAGUGGGGGACUACACAGUUACUGUCUGCACAGAGGGAGUGGACAAAACCAGUGUGUGCUCUGAGGGAAAGGAUUACUUUUCACUAGUCGGUAUAGUGCUGGUACAGCUGAUGAGGAAGAUUGAACCCAGUACUGAGCACAUGGUUGAUUUCACAGCCUUCCACAGUGACCUCACUGAAAAGAUCCUCUCAGAGUUUUGCUCUACAUCAGGCCUCUCGAGAAACGAAGCGUAUCCACAAUCUAUCAAGACUCAGAAGAUAUGCAAGAAAAUGUACAAGGACCUUUUGAAAAGCUUUAUCUCCAAAGACAUGGUUCAUAAGCUGUUAGUUUACCGGCUUCCAGUUUUCAGUACAGUACUGACCAAAUCUUUGGUGAAAGAGCUUCUUCAGUUGAACCACAAGGGGGACGCUGAGAGAGGACAUGGAGGCAAAAUCUUAAACUUCCUUCCGAAAUUUAGACUCAGCAGAAGGCUCCUUGCAGCUUUCAAGAAGAGGUCUGUCAACAUCAAGGUAAAGCAGUUUACUCUAUUCUUCUACUUUGAUAACAACAACAAUAAUAAUAAUAGUCAUCAUCAUAAUCACAAUUGGUUUGCAUUUAUUUUCAGAAUUCCAUGA